GGGCUCAUAGCUCAGCCUGGUUAGAGCGAUCGCCUCUUAAGCGAUAGGUCGCGGGUUCGAAUUAUUGAAGAAUAACGAAAGUCCCGUUGGGCCCA
rnacentral:tRNA from 1 species